UCAUCCUCAUCCAUGUCAAUCGGGU
rnacentral:misc_RNA from 1 species